rnacentral:rRNA from 1 species
CCCUUAGAUGUUCUGGGCCGCACGCGCGCUACACUGAUGCAUUCAACGAGUUUCUUCCUGGUCCGAGAGGAAUGGGUAACCUUUUGAAAGUGCAUCGUGAUAGGGAUAGACUAUUGCAAUUAUUGGUCUUCAACGAGGAAUUCCUAGUAGACGUAGUUCAUCAGACUGCAUCGAUUACGGCCCUGCCCUUUGUACACACCGCCCGUCGCUCCUACCGAUUGAAUGCUCAGGUGAGCCAUUCGGACUUUCAUCAUGCUGGUUUCCAGUUUUGAUGAAGGAAAGUCUUGCGAACCUUAUCAUUUAGAGGAAGGAGAAGUCGUAACA